GACGAACGCUGGCGGCGCGCUUAACACAUGCAAGUCGAACGCUGAAGCUCAGCUUGCUGGGUGGAUGAGUGGCGAACGGGUGAGUAACACGUGAGUAACCUGCCCUCUUCUUUGGGAUAACGCCCGGAAACGGGUGCUAAUACUGGAUAUUCACUGAUCUUCGCAUGGGGGUUGGUGGAAAGGUUUUUUCUGGUGGGGGAUGGGCUCGCGGCCUAUCAGCUUGUUGGUGGGGUGAUGGCCUACCAAGGCUUUGACGGGUAGCCGGCCUGAGAGGGUGACCGGUCACAUUGGGACUGAGAUACGGCCCAGACUCCUACGGGAGGCAGCAGUGGGGAAUAUUGCACAAUGGGCGAAAGCCUGAUGCAGCGACGCCGCGUGAGGGAUGGAGGCCUUCGGGUUGUAAACCUCUUUCGCUCAUGGUCAAGCCGCAACGCAUGGUUGUGGUGAGGGUAGUGGGUAAAGAAGCGCCGGCUAACUACGUGCCAGCAGCCGCGGUAAUACGUAGGGCGCGAGCGUUGUCCGGAAUUAUUGGGCGUAAAGGGCUUGUAGGCGGUUGGUCGCGUCUGCCGUGAAAUCCUCUGGCUUAACUGGGGGCGUGCGGUGGGUACGGGCUGACUUGAGUGCGGUAGGGGAGACUGGAACUCCUGGGUGUAGCGGUGGAAUGCGCAGAUAUCAAGGAAGAACACCGGUGGCGUAGGCGGGUCUCUGGGCCGUUUACUGACGCUGAGGAGCGGAAAGCGUGGGGAAGCGAACAGGAUUAGGAUACCCUGGGUAGUCCAAGGGUGAAUUCCCCGGGGAAUCAAGCUUACCGAUCCCGUCCAACAUCUAAUAAAAAUCAAGGUAUCGUCUUUUGUCCCUUAUGGCGGUUAAUUAUU
rnacentral:rRNA from 1 species